GACUAACGCUGGCGGCGUGCUUAACACAUGCAAGUCGAACGGAAAGGCCCUGCUUUUGUGGGGUGCUCGAGUGGCGAACGGGUGAGUAACACGUGAGUAACCUGCCCUUGACUUUGGGAUAACUUCAGGGAACUGGGGCUAAUACCGGAUAGGAGCUCCUGCUGCAUGGUGGGGGUUGGAAAGUUUCGGCGGUUGGGGAUGGACUCGCGGCUUAUCAGCUUGUUGGUGGGGUAGUGGCUUACCAAGGCUUUGACGGGUAGCCGGCCUGAGAGGGUGACCGGCCACAUUGGGACUGAGAUACGGCCCAGACUCCUACGGGAGGCAGCAGUGGGGAAUAUUGCACAAUGGGCGGAAGCCUGAUGCAGCAACGCCGCGUGCGGGAUGACGGCCUUCGGGUUGUAAACCGCUUUCGCCUGUGACGAAGCGUGAGUGACGGUAAUGGGUAAAGAAGCACCGGCUAACUACGUG
rnacentral:rRNA from 1 species